rnacentral:rRNA from 1 species
ACUCCUACGGGAGGCAGCAGUGGGGAAUUUUGGACAAUGGGCGCAAGCCUGAUCCAGCCAUGCCGCGUGUCUGAAGAAGGCCUUCGGGUUGUAAAGGACUUUUGUCAGGGAAGAAAAGGCUGUUGCUAAUAUCGACAGCUGAUGACGGUACCUGAAGAAUAAGCACCGGCUAACUACGUGCCAGCAGCCGCGGUAAUACGUAGGGUGCGAGCGUUAAUCGGAAUUACUGGGCGUAAAGCGAGCGCAGACGGUUACUUAAGCAGGAUGUGAAAUCCCCGGGCUCAACCUGGGAACUGCGUUCUGAACUGGGUGACUAGAGUGUGUCAGAGGGAGGUAGAAUUCCACGUGUAGCAGUGAAAUGCGUAGAGAUGUGGAGGAAUACCGAUGGCGAAGGCAGCCUCCUGGGAUAACACUGACGUUCAUGCUCGAAAGCGUGGGUAGCAAACAGGAUUAGAUACCCUGGUAGCUACG